GAUGAACGCUGGCGGCGUGCCUAAUACAUGCAAGUCGAGCGAACGGACGAGAAGCUUGCUUCUCUGAUGUUAGCGGCGGACGGGUGAGUAACACGUGGAUAACCUACCUAUAAGACUGGGAUAACUUCGGGAAACCGGAGCUAAUACCGGAUAAUAUUUUGAACCGCAUGGUUAAAAAUUGAAAGACGGUCUUGCUGUCACUUAUAGAUGGAUCCGCGCUGCAUUAGCUAGUUGGUAAGGUAACGGCUUACCAAGGCAACGAUGCAUAGCCGACCUGAGAGGGUGAUCGGCCACACUGGAACUGAGACACGGUCCAGACUCCUACGGGAGGCAGCAGUAGGGAAUCUUCCGCAAUGGGCGAAAGCCUGACGGAGCAACGCCGCGUGAGUGAUGAAGGUCUUCGGAUCGUAAAACUCUGUUAUUAGGGAAGAACAUAUGUGUAAGUAACUGUGCACAUCUUGACGGUACCUAAUCAGAAAGCCACGGCUAACUACGUG
rnacentral:rRNA from 1 species